GAGCACGUGGUUCGUCGACCAUCCCACGGAAAAAAACUAGGGGGUU
rnacentral:ncRNA from 1 species